rnacentral:tRNA from 3 species
GAGUACAUAGUUCUAAUUGGAAGAACACUGACUUCACUGAUUAGAGGUUGCGGGUUCGACUCCCGCUGUACUCC